CUACGCACUCCUACGGGAGGCAGCAGUGGGGAAUAUUGCACAAUGGGCGCAAGCCUGAUGCAGCCAUGCCGCGUGUAUGAAGAAGGCCUCGGGUUGUAAAGUACUUUCAGCAGUGAGGAAGGUGGGUAUGUUAAUAGCAUACUCAUUUGACGUUAGCUGCAGAAGAAGCACCGGCUAACUCCGUGCCAGCAGCCGCGGUAAUACGGAGGGUGCGAGCGUUAAUCGGAAUUACUGGGCGUAAAGCGCAUGCAGGUGGUUUGUUAAGUCAGAUGUGAAAGCCCGGGGCUCAACCUCGGAAUUGCAUUUGAAACUGGCAAACUAGAGUACUGUAGAGGGGGUAGAAUUUCAGGUGUAGCGGUGAAAUGCGUAGAGAUCUGAAGGAAUACCGGUGGCGAAGGCGGCCCCCUGGACAGAUACUGACACUCAGAUGCGAAAGCGUGGGGAGCAAACAGGAUUAGAUACCCUGGUAG
rnacentral:rRNA from 1 species